ACCCGUUGAUCCUGCGGGAGAUUGCUGCUAUCGGAAUUCGACUAAGACAUGCAAGUCUUCUACCAAUAGAGGCGAAAUGCUCAGUAACACGUCGAUAACUUACCCUUAAGUCUGGAAUAAACUUGGUAAACUGAGUGUAAUACCGGAUAGAGAAAUUAUACUGGAAUGUUUUUUUCUCUAAAGCUUCGGCGCUUAAGGAUAGGUCGGCGGUGGAUUAGGUUGUUGGCGGGGUAAUGGCCCACCAAGCCGAAGAUCCGUAAGGGCCUUGAAAGAGGUAGCCCUGAGAAGGACACUGAGAUACUGGUCCUAGCCCUACGGGGUGCAGCAGUCGCGUAACCUUGUCAAUGCACGCAAGUGUGAACAGGGAAUUCCGAGUGCUUAUGCUUUGCAUAGGCUUUUGUUAAGAGUUAAAAUCUUAGCGAAUAAGCGGUGGGUAAGACUGGUGCCAGCAGCCGCGGUAACACCAGCGCCGCUAGUGGGAAUCGUAUAUUUGGUCUAAAGCGUCCGUAGCCGGACAGGCAAAUCUUCUGUGAAAUUGGGAAGCUUAACUUUCCAGCGUGCAGAAGACACUACCAGUCUUGGAACCGGGAGGGGUACAGAGUAUUCCAGGGGAAGCGGUAAAAUGCUAUAAUCCCUGGAGGACUACCUAUGGCGAAGGCACUGUACCAGAACGGAUUCGACGGUGAGGGACGAAAGCCAGGGGAGCGAUCCGGAUUAGAUACCCGAGUAGUCCUGGCCGUAAACGCUGUGAGCUAGGUGUUGCACAUUCCACGUGAAUGUGCAGUAUCGAAGCGAAGGUGUUAAGCUCACCACCUGGGAAGUAUGGUCGCAAGGCUGAAACUUAAAGGAAUUGGCGGGGGAGCACUACAAGGGGUGCGGCGUGCGGUUUAAUCUAAUUCAACGCAGAGAACCUCACUAGAAGCGACGGCAGGAUGAAGGUCAGGCUGAAGGUCUUACCAGACGAGCCGAGAGGUGGUGCAUGGCCGUCGUCAGCUCGUGCUGUAAGGUGUCCUGUUAAGUCAGGCAACGAGCAAGAUCUGUACCCAUAAUUGCCAGCGUGUUCAUUGAAUGAACGGGCACAUUAUGGGGACUGCCCUGGAAACAGGGAGGAAGGUGCAGGCUACGAUAGGUCUGUAUGCCCCGAAUCUUCUAGGCUACACGCGCGCAACAAUGGUAGGAACAAUGGGCUGCAACUCCGAAAGGAGAAGCUAAUCCUCGAAAUCCUAUCUCAGUCUAGAUUGAGGGUUGGAACCCACCCUCAUGACAAUGGAAUCCCUCGUAAUCGGACGUUAGCAUCGUCCGGUGAAUAUGUCCCUGCUCCUUGCACACACCGCCCGUCAAACCACCCGAGCAGGGUUUGGGUGAGGUUUGCCUUUUUAGGCAACACGAAUCUAAACUCAGUGAGGUGGGUUAAGUCGUCACAAGGUA
rnacentral:rRNA from 1 species